GACGAACGCUGGCGGCGUGCUUAACACAUGCAAGUCGAACGGAAAGGCCCUGCUUGCAGGGUACUCGAGUGGCGAACGGGUGAGUAACACGUGGGUGAUCUGCCCUGCACUUCGGGAUAAGCUUGGGAAACUGGGUCUAAUACCGGAUAGGAACCAUCUUUAGUGUGGGGGUUGGAAAGUUUUUUCGGUGUAGGAUGAGCUCGCGGCCUAUCAGCUUGUUGGUGGGGUAAUGGCCUACCAAGGCGGCGACGGGUAGCCGGCCUGAGAGGGUGUACGGCCACAUUGGGACUGAGAUACGGCCCAGACUCCUACGGGAGGCAGCAGUGGGGAAUAUUGCACAAUGGGCGCAAGCCUGAUGCAGCGACGCCGCGUGGGGGACGAAGGCCUUCGGGUUGUAAACUCCUUUCGCUAGGGACGAAGCUUUGUUGUGACGGUACCUAGAUAAGAAGCACCGGCUAACUACGUG
rnacentral:rRNA from 1 species